GGGUAGGGGAGCGUUCUGUAAGCCGUUGAAGGUGGCCUGUGAGGGUUGCUGGAGGUAUCAGAAGUGCGAAUGCUGACAUAAGUAACGAUAAAGCGGGUGAAAAGCCCGCUCGCCGGAAGACCAAGGGUUCCUGUCCAACGUUAAUCGGGGCAGGGUGAGUCGACCCCUAAGGCGAGGCCGAAAGGCGUAGUCGAUGGGAAACGGGUUAAUAUUCCCGUACUUGGUGUUACUGCGAAGGGGGGACGGAGAAGGCUAUGUUGGCCGGGCGACGGUUGUCCCGGUUUAAGCGUGUAGGUGUGUGUUCCAGGUAAAUCCGGUUCACUUUAACACUGAGGCGUGACGACGAGGCACUACGGUGCUGAAGCAACAAAUGCCCUGCUUCCAGGAAAAGCCUCUAAGCAUCAGGUAACAUCAAAUCGUACCCCAAACCGACACAGGUGGUCAGGUAGAGAAUACCAAGGCGCUUGAGAGAACUCGGGUGAAGGAACUAGGCAAAAUGGUGCCGUAACUUCGGGAGAAGGCACGCUGACACGUAGGUGAAGUGAUUUACUCAUGGAGCUGAAGUCAGUCGAAGAUACCAGCUGGCUGCAACUGUUUAUUAAAAACACAGCACUGUGCAAACACGAAAGUGGACGUAUACGGUGUGACGCCUGCCCGGUGCCGGAAGGUUAAUUGAUGGGGUCAGCGCAAGCGAAGCUCCUGAUCGAAGCCCCGGUAAACGGCGGCCGUAACUAUAACGGUCCUAAGGUAGCGAAAUUCCUUGUCGGGUAAGUUCCGACCUGCACGAAUGGCGUAAUGAUGGCCAGGCUGUCUCCACCCGAGACUCAGUGAAAUUGAACUCGCUGUGAAGAUGCAGUGUACCCGCGGCAAGACGGAAAGACCCCGUGAACCUUUACUAUAGCUUGACACUGAACAUUGAGCCUUGAUGUGUAGGAUAGGUGGGAGGCUUUGAAGCGUGGACGCCAGUCUGCGUGGAGCCG
rnacentral:rRNA from 1 species